GGGUUCAUCCGUUGGUCGGGCUUUUUUGGUCUGUACUGGCGUGAUGGAUUCCUACCUUCUGAAUAAUCAGCAUGUCCUUAAUUGGGUGUCAUGUGGAACCAGGACCUUUACCUUGAAAAAAUUAGAGUGUUUAAAGCAGGCAUUUUGCUCGAAUACAUUAGCAUGGAAUAAUAGAAUAGGACGGCAUGGUUCUAUUUUGUUGGUUUCUAGGAUCACCGUA
rnacentral:rRNA from 1 species